CAUGAUUUAGCCAGUACCCCCAAGCAAAGAGACCUUUAGUUUGAUACCCCGAAACCAGGUGAGCUACCCCGAGACAGCCUAUGUUAAUUUAGGGCUAACCCGUCUCUGUGGCAAAAGAGUGGGAAGAGCUCCGGGUAGAAGUGAAAGACCUACCGAACCUGGUGAUAGCUGGUUGACUGAGAAAUGGAUAGAAGUUCAGCCUCGCACACCCCAAACCAAGAAAUAUUAUUAUUAAGAUAUUUAGGGAUACAUACGAGAGUUAGUUAAAAGGGGUACAGCCCUUUUAACAAAGGAUACAACCUUUACAGGAGGAUAAAGAUCAUAAUAUAUAAGAUAUACUGUUCUAGUGGGCCUGAAAGCAGCCACCUAUACAGAAAGCGUUAAAGCUCGGACAGAAGGAAAUUUAUUAUUUAGAUAAAAAAUCUUAUUCCCCUAACUAUAUCAGACCAACCCAUGCCCACAUGGAAGAGAUUAUGCUAAAAUGAGUAAUAAGAAGACCCGCUCUUCUCCCAGCACAAGUGUAAGCCAGAUCGGACUAGCCACUGGAAUUUAACGAACCCAACCCAAGAGGGUAAUGUGAUCAACAAAAAACUCAAGAAGACCUCACAUUAAACAAUCGUUAACCCCACACUGGAGUGCUAUUUUAAGGGAAAGACUAAAAGGGGGGGAAGGAACUCGGCAAACACAAGCCUCGCCUGUUUACCAAAAACAUCGCCUCCUGCAACUAAACUGAGUAUAGGAGGUCCACCCUGCCCAGUGACUACGGGUUCAACGGCCGCGGUAUCUUGACCGUGCAAAGGUAGCGCAAUCACUUGUCUCUUAAAUAGAGACCUGUAUGAAUGGCUAGACGAGGGCUUAACUGUCUCCCCCCUCCAGUCAGUGAAAUUGAUCUAUCCGUGCAGAAGCGGGUAUAAAUAUACAAGACGAGAAGACCCUUUGGAGCUUAAGGUACAAAUUCAACCACGUUAAACAACUCUAUAAGAAGUAAGAACUUAGUGAUACUGAAAUUUUACCUUCGGUUGGGGCGACCGCGGAGGAAAAACAAGCCUCCGAGUGGACUGGGCCAAAUCCCUGAAGCCAAUAGAGACAUCUAUAGGACGCAGAAUAUCUGACCAAAAAUGAUCCGGCUAAAAAGCCGAUCAACGAACCAAGUUACCCAAGGGAUAACAGCGCAAUCCCCUCCCAGAGCCCAUAUCUACGAGGGGGUUUACGACCUCGAUGUUGGAUCAGGACAUCCUAAUGGUGCAGCCGCUAUUAAGGGUUCGUUUGUUCAACGAUUAAAGUCC
rnacentral:rRNA from 1 species